CACCCCCUCCAGCUGCCUUUGUGUGGCUGCGGUGUUGGGGCACGUCGCGAUGCGGCGGCCCUUAAAGACAGUGGCGGUCCCGGCGUGGGCUCUACGCGUAGUAACUUGCUUCUCGCGACAGAGUGACGACGGUGGCUUGCCAGAACACCCCUCUUUUGCUCCAGUCACAUGGAUCACA
rnacentral:misc_RNA from 4 species